CUAUAGUGGACUUUCUUUCGAGUUCAAUUUCAUGUAUGCAACACUGCUUGACAUAAUCAAUAACUUCUGAUUCAUCAACAUGCAGUAAUUCCUGCUGUGAGAUUUGUUCAGUGUCUACUUGAACAAAGGCAGGAGUGAGUGAUAUUGUUAGGACUUCUUCCCUGGGUAACUGCAUUUUGCUUGAUUCUGCUGUAGCUUGGUCUUCUAUCUGUGGUCCAAAAUUUUCAUCAUCCUCAAUCCCUUGUUUUACUUCUGCAUCACAUGUUUGAACCUUGUCAUGUUGAUCAGUAUAGCUAGUGGUGUUUAUUUUGGCAGUGUCAUCAUCUACACAUUGUUUUGUUUGUUCCUCUUCGUUAGGUUUUUUCUCUGUAAUGUCUUCAUCCAGCUGUAUCUGUUCUUCUUUAGUGUCAUCAACUCUUUCGGUUACGAUCGCAACUGCAAUUCCUAUUGGUUGCCGAAUUUGAUUUUCUGGAUAUUAAGAAUCAAUCAUUUACAUGAAUUCUGCUAUCUUAUUAUUUAAAUGCAUGUACAGGUUCUUUGCAAAAUAAAAAAUAGUCGCAGUGGCUCAUAUAGCUCCCAUAUUUGCCAAGGAAUUACUGUACACAUUUUAUCGUCCGGAUUUAGUAGUGAGUAAAACAGCCAUUUUCAUCUAAACACGUGUUUUUAAAUUUCUAUAUACAAUAAAUAAUAUUCUUUCACGUAAAGUACUGUUUAGUUUUAUUUUCUUUACAGUAUUGAAGUUUUUGUUUUGGUUAGUGUUUUUCAGUAAAAACCGGUUCUAAAAUUUCAAAACAUAGUUACCUUCAAUUUCUGAGUUGUCGGUCUUCAAAUCAGCAAAUGUUUUGGAAUCUGUUUCUUCCUCUGCUUUAAUUUUUGUUGCAUCGCUGGUGGCUGAAUUCUCUGUUACUUUGCUGAUAUUGUCCUUGGUCUCGGAUUUUUCAGUUUCCUAGUUGAAUUUGUGAAAUGUAUGUGUAAAAUUUCAUUCAUAAGUUACGAAAAUUAUUGAUUUUAUUUUCAAAGUAGAUGCAAUAUAUGUAAAGUUUUACUAAUUUAAACCACUAAGGCCUAACCUGAGCAAAAGUUGUAUUUCUUCCAAGUUCAAUUUCUUCUAUGCAACUUUGCUUGACAUAAUCAAUAGUUUCUGAUUCAUCAACAUGCAGUAAUUCUUGCUGUAAGAUUUUUUCAGUGUCCAUUUGAACAGAGGCAGGAGUGAGUGUUAGGACUUCUUCCUUGGGUAACUGCAUUUUGCUUGAUUCUGCUGUAGCUUGGUCUUCUAUCUGUGGUCCUAAAUUUUCAUCAUCCUCAAUCCCUUGUUUUACUUCUGCAUCAGAUGUUUGAACCUUAUCAUGUUGAUCAGUAUAGCUAGUGGUGUUUACUUUGGCAGUGUCAUCAUCUACAUAUUGUUUUGUUUGUUCCUCUUCGUUAGGUUUUUUCUCUGUAAUGUCUUCAUCCAGCUGUAUCUGUUCUUCUUUAGUGUCAUCAACUCUUUCAGUUACGAUCGCUACUGAAAUUCCUAUUGGUUGCCGAAUUUGAUUUUCUGGAUAUUAAGAAUCAAUCAUUUACAUGAAUUCUGCUAUCUUAUUAUUUAAAUGCAUGUGCAGGUUCUUUGCAAAAUAAAAAAUAGUCGCAGUGGCUCAUAUAGCUCCCAUAUUUGCCAAGGAAUUACUGUACACAUUUUAUCGACCGGAUUUAGUAGUGAGUAAAACAGGCAUUUUCAUCUCAAUACUUGUUUUUAAAUUUCUAUAUACAAUAAAUUAUAUUUCUUUCACGCAAAGUACUGUUUAGUUUUAUUUUCUUUACAGUAUUGAAGUUUUUCUUUUGGUUAGUGUUUUUGAGUAAAAACCGGUUCUAAAAUUUCAAAACAUAGUUACCUUCGAUUUCUGACUUGUCGGUCUUGAAAUCAGCCAAUGUUUUGGAAUCUGUUUCUUCCUCUGCUUUAAUUUUUGUUGCAUCGCUGGUGGCUGAAUUCUCUGUUACUUUGCUGAUAUAGCUAGUGGUGUUUAUUUCGGCAGUGUCCUCAUCUACAAAUUGUGUUGUUUGUUCCUCUUCGUUAGGUUUUUUCUCUGUAAUGUCUUCAUCCAGUUGUAUCUGUUCUUCUUUAGUGUCACCAACUCUUUCGGUUACGAUCGUUAGUGCAAUUCCUAUUGGUUGCCAAACUUGAUCUUCUGGAUAUUAAGAAUCAAUGAUUUACAUAAAUAUUGGCAUCUUAUUAUUUAAGUGCAUGUACAGGUUUUUUGCAAAAUAGAAAAUAGUCCCAGUGGCUCAUAAAGCUCCCAUAUUUGCCAAGGAAUUACUGUACACAUUUUAUCGUCUGGAUAUAGUAGUGAGUAAAACAGCCAUUUUCAUCUAAACACGUGUUUUUAAAUUUCUAUGUACAUUAAAUAAUAUUUCUUUCACGCGAAGUAGUGUUUAGUUUUAUUUUCUUUACAGUAUUGAAGUUUUACUUUUGGUUAGUGUUUUUGAGUAAAAACCGGUUCUAAAAUUUCAAAACAUAGUUACCUUCGAUUUCUGACUUGUCGGUCUUGAAAUCAGCCAAUGUUCUGGAAUCUGUUCCUUCCUCUGCUUUAAUUUUUGUUGCAUCGCUGGUGGCUGAAUUCUCUAUUACUUUGCUGAUAUUGUCCUUGGUCUCGGGUUUUUCAGUUUCCUAGUUGAAUUUAUGAAAUGUUUGUGUGAAAUUUCUUUCAUAAGUUACGAAAAUUAUUGAUUUUAUUUUCAAAGGAGAUGCAAUAUAUGUAAAGUUUUACUAAUUUAAACCACUUAGGCCUAACCUGAGCAAAAGUGGUAUUUCUUCCAAGUUCAAUUUCUUCUAUGCAACUUUGCUUGACAUAAUCAAUAGCUUCUGAUUCAUCAACAUGCAGUAAUUCUUGCUGUAAGAUUUUUUCAGUGUCCAUUUGAACAGAAGCAGGAGUGAGUGUUAGGACUUCUUCCUUGGGUAACUGCAUUUUGCUUGAUUCUGCUGUAGCUUGGUCUUCUAUCUGUGGUCCUAAAUUUUCAUCAUCCUCAAUCCCUUGUUUUACUUCUGUAUCAGAUGUUUGAACCUUGUCAUGUUGAUCAAUAUAGCUAGUGGUGUUUAUUUCGGCAGUGUCCUCAUCUACACAUUGUGUUGUUUGUUCCUCUUCGUUAGGUUUUUUCUCUGUAAUGUCUUCAUCCAGCUGUAUCUGUUCUCCUUUAGUGUCAUCAACUCUUUCGGUUA
rnacentral:lncRNA from 1 species